rnacentral:rRNA from 1 species
UACGAAGGGGGCUAGCGUUGCUCGGAAUCAUUGGGCGUAAAGGGUGCGUAGGCGGCGGGGCAAGUCUGAUGUGAAAUCCCGGGGCUCAACCCCGGAACUGCAUUGGAUACUGCCUUGCUUGAGUACUGGAGAGGAGACUGGAAUUUACGGUGUAGCAGUGAAAUGCGUAGAUAUCGUAAGGAAGGCCAGUGGCGAAGGCGAGUCUCUGGACAGUUACUGACGCUGAGGCACGAAGGCCAGGGGAGCAAACGGG